CCUGAGUACGACGGAGCACGUGAAAUUCCGUCGGAAUCUGGGAGGACCAUCUCCUAAGGCUAAAUACUCUCUAGUGACCGAUAGUGAACCAGUACCGUGAGGGAAAGGUGAAAAGUACCCCGGAAGGGGAGUGAAAGAGAACUUGAAACCGUGUGCUUACAAGUAGUCAGAGCCCGUUAAUGGGUGAUGGCGUGCCUUUUGUAGAAUGAACCGGCGAGUUACGAUCUGAUGCAAGGUUAAGCAGAAAAUGUGGAGCCGUAGCGAAAGCGAGUCUGAAUAGGGCGAAUGAGUAUUUGGUCGUAGACCCGAAACCAGGUGAUCUACCCUUGGUCAGGUUGAAGUUCAGGUAACACUGAAUGGAGGACCGAACCGACUUACGUUGAAAAGUGAGCGGAUGAACUGAGGGUAGCGGAGAAAUUCCAAUCGAACUUGGAGAUAGCUGGUUCUCUCCGAAAUAGCUUUAGGGCUAGCCUCAAGUGAUGAUUAUUGGAGGUAGAGCACUGUUUGGACGAGGGGCCCCUCUCGGGUUACCGAAUUCAGACAAACUC
rnacentral:rRNA from 1 species